AGGGAAACUCGAAAUAAAUGAGGAUGCAACAUAAGAGAACCACCAUGUAAGGAAGGAAUAAGAAGAAUAUUUCAGAUUGCAGGGAUAUUUCUUUUCAGGGAUUGGAAUGGAGCGAGAAGUAGAAUGUAAUGAAUAGAAACUC